ACGAAGGGGGCUAGCGUUGUUCGGAAUUACUGGGCGUAAAGCGCACGUAGGCGGAUAUUUAAGUCAGGGGUGAAAUCCCGGGGCUCAACCCCGGAACUGCCUUUGAUACUGGGUAUCUCGAGUCCGAGAGAGGUGAGUGGAAUUCCGAGUGUAGAGGUGAAAUUCGUAGAUAUUCGGAGGAACACCAGUGGCGAAGGCGGCUCACUGGCUCGGUACUGACGCUGAGGUGCGAAAGCGUGGGGAGCAAACAGG
rnacentral:rRNA from 1 species